rnacentral:rRNA from 1 species
AGCGAACGCUGGCGGCAGGCCUAACACAUGCAAGUCGAACGAACCCUUCGGGAUUAGUGGCGGACGGGUGAGUAACACGUGGGAACGUGCCUUUAGGUUCGGAAUAACUCAGGGAAACUUGUGCUAAUACCGAAUGUGCCCUUCGGGGGAAAGAUUUAUCGCCUUUAGAGCGGCCCGCGUCUGAUUAGCUAGUUGGUGAGGUAAUGGCUCACCAAGGCUACGAUCAGUAGCUGGUCUGAGAGGAUGACCAGCCACAUUGGGACUGAGACACGGCCCAAACUCCUACGGGAGGCAGCAGUGGGGAAUCUUGCGCAAUGGGCGAAAGCCUGACGCAGCCAUGCCGCGUGAAUGAUGAAGGUCUUAGGAUUGUAAAAUUCUUUCACCGGGGACGAUAAUGACGGUACCCGGAGAAGAAGCCCCGGCUAACUUCGUGCCAGCCGCCGCGGUAAAAC